UCGGGAAUUUUGGACAAUGGGGGCAACCCUGAUCCAGCAAUGCCGCGUGAGUGAAGAAGGCCUUCGGGUUGUAAAGCUCUUUUGUCAGGGAAGAAACGGUAGUAGCGAAUAACUAUUACUAAUGACGGUACCUGAAGAAUAAGCACCGGCUAACUACGUGCCAGCAGCCGCGGUAAUACGUAGGGUGCAAGCGUUAAUCGGAAUUACUGGGCGUAAAGCGUGCGCAGGCGGUUGUGUAAGUCAGAUGUGAAAUCCCCGGGCUCAACCUGGGAAUUGCAUUUGAGACUGCACGGCUAGAGUGUGUCAGAGGGGGGUAGAAUUCCACGUGUAGCAGUGAAAUGCGUAGAUAUGUGGAGGAAUACCGAUGGCGAAGGCAGCCCCCUGGGAUAACACUGACGCUCAUGCACGAAAGCGUGGGGAGCAAACAGGAUUAGAUACCCAAGUAGUCCCUGAGCGGGCUGGCAAGGCGCAU
rnacentral:rRNA from 1 species